CUCAAUGCUCAGUCAAAUUGUCACGUUGUCAAUAAAAUUACACUGAAUUACACUGCCAUGAAUGAAGAAUCUAACUUAUGUGCGAAUACAUGGAGUCGCAUUAUCGAGCCUAUAAAUAAGGUUGGGUACCUAGAUGGGGCUGCCGAUGGUCAAUCUGCAGCUUUUCAAUGUAGUUUCGAUAUUGGUUACAGUCAAGGAUUCAUGUUUGGAUUACAGCUUGGUCUUAGCGGAAAUAGUUCAAAGAACAUAAAUGAAACAUUCAAAGAUCCAAGGAAAAUUAAUUGUCAGCUAUGUAUCAAUGGAACCUCAACACAGGAAAAAAUUGAUAAUUUGUUUAAUAUACAAGAAGAAGACAAUAUGAAGUAUUUCAAAACGAUGUAAAAAAGAUAUUUUUGAUCUAAAAUAAAAAUGAGCUUUAUUUUUUAUUAAUAAGUUAAAAUGUAUAAAUAAAUUAUUUUACAUUC